UACGUAGGGAGCAAGCGUUGUCCGGAAUCAUUGGGCGUAAAGCGCGCGUAGGUGGCCCCAUAAGUCCGCUGUGAAAGUCAAAGGCUCAACCUUUGAAAGCCGGUGGAUACUGUGGGACUAGAGUACGGAAGAGGCGAGUGGAAUUCCUGGUGUAGCGGUGGAAUGCGUAGAGAUCGGGAGGAACACCUGUGGCGAAGGCGGCUCGCUGGGCCGGUCCUGACGCUGAGACGCGAAGGCGUGGGGAGCGAACGGG
rnacentral:rRNA from 1 species